UAAAAUAAUAUAUAGAUAGAAGGAGAGAACUUCAUAGACGGAGAAGACUUCACAGACGGAGAAGAUUUUAUAGACCACUUCCAAUCAAGCAAUAAAGAAUCUGUAUCAAGUAACAUUGCUGAUAAUUCUCAGGAUCGGAAAAGAAAAAGAGGCAAUAGAGCUGGCGCAUUCGUACGGCAGCAACGCUUUAUGCGAUUCCUUUUUGACUUAUCAUCAGCUUGCGAUAAUUAGGGACGUAAAAAACGUAAAAUCCAGGAUUCUUUGAAACCCAAAGAUCAAUUGGGCAAUUUUCAGUCUUCUUCAAACCAAAGAAUCAAGCAACAUGCUUCAACGUCGAAGGAUUCCUACACAAAGGACCAGGUUCCAAAAAAAAAAUUGAUUAAACAUUGAUUGGUUGAGACGAUCCUAUUUUUGCAUCGCAAUAUGUACAUGAUAAUAGAUCGCAACUAAAAUUUUAGCCACAAACUGCUACAGAGAAUGAAAAUAAUGACACAUUCAUAUGGACCCACAAUACGAUACAAUUAUUGUUAAACGAAUACGAAAAAAGAAAAAUUAAAUUUCGGAAUCCAA